CAGUAGCCACGGGAAUACGGAGGGGGCUAGCGUUGUUCGGAAUUACUGGGCGUAAAGCGCACGUAGGCGGCUUGGUAAGUUAGAGGUGAAAGCCUGGAGCUCAACUCCAGAAUUGCCUUUAAGACUGCCGAGCUAGCAGGUGAGAGAGGUAAGUGGAAUUCCGAGUGUAGAGGUGAAAUUCGUAGAUAUUCGGAAGAACACCAGUGGCGAAGGCGGCUUACUGGCUCAUACUGGACGCUGAGGUGCGAAAGCGUGGGGAGCAAACAGGAUUAGAUACCCGUGUAGUCCCUGUCUCUUAUAC
rnacentral:rRNA from 1 species